rnacentral:tRNA from 1 species
UCCCUGAUGGUCCAGUGGUUAAGACUCUGCACUGCAAAUGCAGGGGAUGUGGGUUCGAUCCCUGGUCUGGGAA